GAUGAACGCUGGCGGCGUGCCUAAUACAUGCAAGUCGAGCGAACAGACGAGGAGCUUGCUCCUCUAACGUUAGCGGCGGACGGGUGAGUAACACGUGGAUAACCUACCUAUAAGACUGGGAUAACUUCGGGAAACCGGAGCUAAUACCGGAUAAUAUAUUUAACCGCAUGGUUCAAUAGUGAAAGACGGUUUUGCUGUCACUUAUAGAUGGAUCCGCGCCGCAUUAGCUAGUUGGUAAGGUAACAGCUUACCAAGGCAACGAUGCGUAGCCGACCUGGGAGGGUGAUCGGCCACACUGGAACUGAGACACGGUCCAGACUCCUACGGGAGGCAGCAGUAGGGAAUCUUCCGCAAAGGGCGAAAGCCUGACGGAGCAACGCCGCGUGAGUGAUGAAGGUCUUCGGAUCGUAAAACUCUGUUAUUAGGGAAGAACAAAUGUGUAAGUAACUAUGCACGUCUUGACGGUACCUAAUCAGAAAGCCACGGCUAACUACGUG
rnacentral:rRNA from 1 species